CGGAGGGGGUGGCUGGCCCCAAGACCUCGGAGCAAGGAAACCGCGGAGGAGGGCGGGGGAGAGCGGGAGCAGCAAAAGGACUUGUCCCAAGCCCCUCGGCUCCUUGCGAGUCUCCGCACCCACCGCAGCGCGUCCGCAGUGUCCGCGCCGCGGCGCUGAGGAUUCAGCCGCUGGGACCCCAUUUCUGAGGCCUCACUGGGGGAGCUAGCAGAGAUGGAAGUCUUAGAACCAGGGACUGCAGCAGACUGCGCCCCCCGGCACCACCGUUGCCCACUCUGCGCCAGGACUCCGGGGUCCCCUGUCGGGGAAAAGAGCCCUCCUCCCGCCGUCGAGCUCCACGUCAGCCCAUUCUAGCUCUUCUAUCCCCUUCCCACCACCUCCUCGGUUUAGCUAACCCAAGUCGGCCCGAAGCCAUGGACAGCGACAAUCCCCCGGCCCCCAGCUCUGCCCCCGGGCGCGGCGCAUUCCAGCACCUUGGACAGCGGCCGGAGCAUUCCAAUGGAGCUGCAUUCCAGGCUUCUGCCGGCGCCCACCGCCUGGGUCAGUCCCACCCUCCCCUCUGAAGGAGGUGGCCCCCGCUCCGCCUCUAACCCCAGAGCUGCCUCCUCUCCUCGCUGCUCCCUCCCCCGCCGCCCCCGGACCACAGCUUACCGGGGUUUGCUCCCCCAUCGCCGUCCUCGCAGUCCGUCAGGUUGUUUAGCAUGGUGGCGGCGCGGCCCCUGGUCCGGGGAUGGCUGCGCCGCCUCGCCUGCGCCCCUCUGCCUGCCUUCGCUGCUCUCUCGUUCGCUCUAGCUCGCUCUCGCUCUCCGCUCCACGGAGGAAGAAGCUGCAGUGCCCGCCCGCCCGGCGCACACACACACUCGCACACGGACACACGCUCACACCCGCGCGCGCCCCCUCUCAGCAGCGGCGCUGCUCACCUCAUCCCGUAUGCAGGAGGCGUGAGCCACUGGCGGGGUUUUGGGGGGGAGAGCGGGAGGGAGGGAGAAGAGAAGAUGAGGGGCGGGCAGAGCGCGACUAGUGGCCCCCUUGCAAGAAAACUGGGGGAUUGCGUGGGUGGGAUGUAGGGGGUGCUUCAGGGGACAGGGCCUCGCCUCCCUUAAGCAGACGCAGCUCCCCCCCACCCACUCUCCGGGCGGGGCCCGGCACGUGGGCAGGUGCCAUCCCGCGCCCUAAAAAUAACGGCAGGGAACUAGGUCGCGGCCGCAGGGAGGCGGCCCCGCAGCGGCUGCCCAACUGGGGGUCUGUGGUAACCCCCAGGGGGGAGAUAAAGGGCACUGAAGUGGCCAUGGAGGUGCGCCAUGGAAUAUGGGGCCCUUGGGAAGCCUCUCUGCAAGACUGGAGAGGCCAACCCCGAAGUUGGGGAGGAGAGCCAGACCCUCUUUCAUACCACUGUUUAAGAGAUUGGAGCUAGAGCCCAGGGCCCAUAACUAAAGCAAUGUGCUACCCCCAGGGGCAUUCAGGUCACUGGGCUGACUGACCCAACCUGUCUUAAAAUGGAGGGCGGUAGCGCCUGAGGAGUUACAAGGAACUCUCUCAUUGUGCUUAGACUGACAGGAGUCCUAGCAUCCCACUCCCAAGACAACUCCCUGGAGCCCACAGCCAGGGACCUUCUGACUGCAGACUGAUCUAGGGAUAAGACCUGGCCAAUCCUCCAAAAGCUUGAUCAUCCUGGGACCCCUCAGCACCCCUAGGGUCCAGGUUUGAGCCAGUGGUGCAGAUGUCUCAGGAAUUGGCAUCAGAGGUUUGCAAGCUUUCAGUCUCUGGAAGAUCUAAACAUCUGAGGGCGGGAGCUGAUCAAGGUAAACAAUUUUCAGACUCACACUAGCUCUCUCGCUCAUCCUCUAAAUUUCAGAAGAGUUCUAGGAUUGGGAAAGGAUCAGUCAUUGUAUCUUACACACAGCUUUCAUUUCACAGAUGAAAAAACUAAGGCCCAUAGAGGGAAAAUGACUGCUGUGGACAUAAUGCCAGGGAAUGGCAGAAUUUGGUCUAGCAUCCAGUUUGCCUCACUCCAGUUUAGGACUCAUGUCAUCAACAGAACUUAUAAAAUCUGUCUUGCCUCCAUAAAAGAGACAAGGGUGCAGUCAUACCCAAGCCCCUCAGCAGCUGCUGAUCAUUCGCUCCUGAAAAAAGAAAAUAAAAGAAACAGGGACUAGGUCUGAGAUGCGCUUUCUUCCUUUUCUUGUGCUCAGGCUUCAGAAGUGCAGGGCUAGAAUGGACUCUUGGCUUGCAACUGAAGGGGAAGCCUCCAGAAAACCUGCAAGGAUCCUAAAGAGCCAUUCAUAUACCUGGAGACCAGAAUACAGGACAGCACUUUUUCAGAACCAUGGACAGGACCCAGGUCUCCGCUUUACUUGUAUUGAUAAAUUUGUCAGUGGCUUCAGUUUGGGUCAACCGUGGAGUCUUCAGCAGCUGGCUCAAAGAUGCCUCUGAGGGACCUACCAACCAAGUAUCGCUGCCACUUGGUUUUUUGGAUACCCGAAGGACCCUUUAGGGUGAAGAGUUAGCUAUUCAGACAAGUUGUGGGCAUGGGUAUCCUUGGCUCUCCCAAAAAGAAAACCACCGAAAGGGUAAGACAAGUUUGGUGACAGAGGUUAAAAGAAUAGCAGAUGAGAAGGCCAGUGUUCAAAAUUUUUUAAGCAUUCCACUACACACACACACACACACACACACACACACACACACACCAGCAGUAGCAACAGCAGCAGCAGCAGCACUGUGGUCUACUACUCUGCAGAGAUGCAUAACACAGUAAAACACGUGUAGCAUGUUUUUCUGAGAAGUGCUGUGGAAUGAAUAUGCUGAGGUUUUUCAGCAAUCCCAAGUCUGCAUGUUCCCCUGGGGUUACUUUCCUUCAUCUGUGGUCCAGCUUUGGCCACUCAGGGACUGGACGCAUGUAUGAGGAUUCUAGGGAAUAUAGGUGAAGGCAGUAGUGAUUCCUCUUCUCCUGGGUAACCCAUCUGUCCACCUUCACUAGAGUUCCCAUCUCAAGGGCCAUCUGAGAUUCAAAAGAUAGUGGUUCUAUCGUAUCCUCUGCCCCCAAAUUCUCUGUGUAUUCCUGGGCAAAAUUGGACUUCUCUCUGUGGGCCUCAGUAUCCCAUCUGUAAAAGUGAGUUAGGUUGCAUAAUCCAUGGCGCGUCUUCCUGCUCUUAAAACUCUUAGUGCUCUCUCUACUAAUCUCAGACCAAAGCCACAUAUCCCUUCCUGAGGGGGCCAUACCAAGUGAACAAACAGUCCCAGGGGUAGAUCCCAGCCCCUUCAUUGACACUCUCACCUCUCAGGAAGACUGUGCCCUAUUUUGGCCUCCAGCUGACUCUCUGUGGUGAGGUUUAGAAACACAUGGCAGGAAUCUGCUACACUGCCAGCCUGGCACUGGCCAGGAAAAGGUGACCUGCAGCUCACAGCCCCAGGAAUCUGGCUGCCAGCACAGCAUCCCCUCCCCACCAAGAACCCUAGGGAGAUCUGGGGCCAGGGAAACCCUCUCAUUAAAGCAGCACAAGAUUC